rnacentral:rRNA from 1 species
AUGAUCUCCUCUAGGAGAUCCUCGGAGGUGGCGCCUGAGUCUCACGAAGAGGAUCUCGCCCGCCCCGCGGCGCACGCAUCCUCCCUCCAGCAUGCCUCAUCGAAGGCGCUGGCCUCCCCGCUUGAAGACGACGAUCUCCUUCGGGAGAUCCUCCUCCGCCUCGCGCCGCAACCAUCCUCCCUCCCACGUGCCUUUGCUGUCUGCAAGCGAUGGCGAGGCCUCCUCACCGACCCCAGGUUCCUCCGCCGCUACUAUGCCCACCACCACAAGCCUCCCCUCCUUGGUGUCUUUGAGACUCGCAGCGGGAAGAACCCCUUUAUUUCAACUUUGGACUCUCCCGACCGCAUCCCCCCCGAGCGAUUCGACCUACAACGUCACAUCAACUUCCCUAAAAGUGUGCUUGAUUGCCGCCAUGGCCGCGUCCUCGUCAAAUACUGGAUGCGGGAAGACCUCGUUGUGUGUGAUCCCAUCACCAGUGAGAAGCACCACAUGUCUGUUCUAUCGAAAUUCAAGGGGGUAUUCAUUAGCGGGGCGGUGCUUUGCGCUGCCGGUGACCAGGGCCAUGUGCACGGUGGCUGCCACUCCAGUCCUAUAAAAGUUGUCUUGGUGUCCACCACAAAAGAUGCUAGAGCCCUAGCCUGUGUUUACUCCUCGGAGACUGGCGUAUGGGACAAUCUGAUCUCAACAUCAACUCCAUGUCAGCUUUUUGUUGGUCGUUUUUCUGGGACCCUCAUUGGUAAGGCCCUUUAUUGGCCGCUUUUUACCCCUGAGAAGGGCAUACUGGAGUUUAAUUUGGAAGAGCAGAGCCUAGCUGUGAUUAAGGGGCCUCCUUUGACAAACGAUUUCGACAUGGGCAACAUUUGGAUCAUUCAAGCUGAGGGUGGUGGUGUUGGCUUAGCCGUAUUGUCUUACCCUUUCUUCCAAAUGUGGCAAAGGGACGUCAAUUUUCAUGGUGUUGCCACAUGGGUCCUGCAAAAGACCUUUGAAAUACAUAGCAUUCUUGGUCUCCCUCCCCAUAUUGGAAGAGGGACAGGAGCGAGAAAAACUAUAGUGGGAUAUUCUGAGGAUGCUGAUGUAGUUUUCAUACUUGUGGGUGAUAGUCUAUGCAUGGUUCAACUUAAAUCGAUGCAAUGCAAGAGACUUUGUGAAACCAAUCAUUCGGUUUGCUACUAUCCUCUCACGAGCUUCUAUGUACCAGGUGAUUUUUCAUCCAUGGGCAUUAUAUUGUAG